rnacentral:tRNA from 1 species
GCAGCCUUAGCUCAGUUGGUUAGAGCGCUUGAUUGUGGAUCAAGAGGUCCCCCGUUCGAACCGGGGAGGCUGUACCA